rnacentral:rRNA from 1 species
GACGAACGCUGGCGGCGUGGAUUAGGCAUGCAAGUCGAGCGAGAACCCAGCAAUGGGGGACAGCGGCGCAAGGGACAGUAAUGUGUAGAUUAUCUGCCCUCGGGUCCGGGAUAGCUGCGGGAAACUGCAGGUAAUACCGGAUAACAUCUCCGGAUCAAAGGUGUGAUUCCGCCCGAGGAUGAGUCUGCAUCCUAUUAGCUAGUUGGCAGGGUAAUGGCCUACCAAGGCGAUGAUGGGUAGCGGGUGUGAGAGCACGACCCGCGUCAUUGGGACUGAGACACUGCCCAGACACCUACGGGUGGCUGCAGUCGAGAAUCUUCGGCAAUGGGCGCAAGCCUGACCGAGCGACGCAGCGUGUGGGAUGAAGGCCUUCGGGUUGUAAACCACUGUCAGAGGGGAUGAAAUGCAGGUGGGUUCUCCCAUCUGUUUGACAUAGCCUCAGAGGAAGGACGGGCUAAGUUCGUGCCAGCCGCCGCCGUAAAAC